GGGGGGGGGUGGGGGGGGGGGGGGGGCGGGGGGGGCGGGCGGGGAGGGCGUGCGUUUGUGGGGUGCUCGAGUGGCGAACGGGGGAGUAACACGUGAGUAACCUGCCCUUGACUUUGGGAUAACUUCAGGAAACUGGGGCUAAUACCGGAUAGGAGCUCCUGCUGCAUGGUGGGGGUUGGAAAGUUUCGGCGGUUGGGGAUGGACUCGCGGCUUAUCAGCUUGGUGGUGGGGUAGUGGCUUACCAAGGCGUUGACGGGUAGCCGGCCUGAGAGGGUGACCGGCCACAUUGGGACUGAGAUACGGCCCAGACUCCUACGGGAGGCAGCAGUGGGGAAUAUUGCACAAUGGGCGGAAGCCUGAUGCAGCAACGCCGCGUGCGGGAUGACGGCCUUCGGGUUGUAAACCGCUUUCGCCUGUGACGAAGCGUGAGUGACGGUAAUGGGUAAAGAAGCACCGGCUAACUACGUG
rnacentral:rRNA from 1 species